rnacentral:misc_RNA from 1 species
AACUGAUACUACCUGCGGGAACCUGCGGAGGGAUCAUUACCGUGGGGAUUCGUCCCCAUUGAGAUAGCACCCUUUGUUUAUGAGUACCAUUUGUUUCCUCGGCGGGCCUGCCCGCCGCUAGGACCCACCAAAAACCUUUGCAGUAGCAGUACCUUCAGUAAAAAAACAAAUAUCAAAACUUUCAGCAACGGAUCUCU